GGGCGAUUAGCUCAGCUGGGAGAGCGCCUGCCUUACAAACAGGAUGUCGGCAGUUCGAGAUCCUGUCAUCGCCCACCA
rnacentral:tRNA from 1 species